rnacentral:rRNA from 1 species
AAAUUGAAGAGUUUGAUCAUGGCUCAGAUUGAACGCUGGCGGCAGGCCUAACACAUGCAAGUCGAGCGGUAGCACAGAGAGCUUGCUCUCGGGUGACGAGCGGCGGACGGGUGAGUAAUGUCUGGGAAACUGCCUGAUGGAGGGGGAUAACUACUGGAAACGGUAGCUAAUACCGCAUAAUGUCGCAAGACCAAAGUGGGGGACCUUCGGGCCUCAUGCCAUCAGAUGUGCCCAGAUGGGAUUAGCUUGUAGGUGGGGUAACGGCUCACCUAGGCGACGAUCCCUAGCUGGUCUGAGAGGAUGACCAGCCACACUGGAACUGAGACACGGUCCAGACUCCUACGGGAGGCAGCAGUGGGGAAUAUUGCACAAUGGGCGCAAGCCUGAUGCAGCCAUGCCGCGUGUGUGAAGAAGGCCUUCGGGUUGUAAAGCACUUUCAGCGGGGAGGAAGGCGGUGAGGUUAAUAACCUCAUCGAUUGACGUUACCCGCAGAAGAAGCACCGGCUAACUCCGUGCCAGCAGCCGCGGUAAUACGGAGGGUGCAAGCGUUAAUCGGAAUUACUGGGCGUAAAGCGCACGCAGGCGGUCUGUCAAGUCGGAUGUGAAAUCCCCGGGCUCAACCUGGGAACUGCAUUCGAAACUGGCAGGCUAGAGUCUUGUAGAGGGGGGUAGAAUUCCAGGUGUAGCGGUGAAAUGCGUAGAGAUCUGGAGGAAUACCGGUGGCGAAGGCGGCCCCCUGGACAAAGACUGACGCUCAGGUGCGAAAGCGUGGGGAGCAAACAGGAUUAGAUACCCUGGUAGUCCACGCCGUAAACGAUGUCGAUUUGGAGGUUGUGCCCUUGAGGCGUGGCUUCCGGAGCUAACGCGUUAAAUCGACCGCCUGGGGAGUACGGCCGCAAGGUUAAAACUCAAAUGAAUUGACGGGGGCCCGCACAAGCGGUGGAGCAUGUGGUUUAAUUCGAUGCAACGCGAAGAACCUUACCUGGUCUUGACAUCCACAGAACUUUCCAGAGAUGGAUUGGUGCCUUCGGGAACUGUGAGACAGGUGCUGCAUGGCUGUCGUCAGCUCGUGUUGUGAAAUGUUGGGUUAAGUCCCGCAACGAGCGCAACCCUUAUCCUUUGUUGCCAGCGGUCCGGCCGGGAACUCAAAGGAGACUGCCAGUGAUAAACUGGAGGAAGGUGGGGAUGACGUCAAGUCAUCAUGGCCCUUACGACCAGGGCUACACACGUGCUACAAUGGCAUAUACAAAGAGAAGCGACCUCGCGAGAGCAAGCGGACCUCAUAAAGUAUGUCGUAGUCCGGAUUGGAGUCUGCAACUCGACUCCAUGAAGUCGGAAUCGCUAGUAAUCGUAGAUCAGAAUGCUACGGUGAAUACGUUCCCGGGCCUUGUACACACCGCCCGUCACACCAUGGGAGUGGGUUGCAAAAGAAGUAGGUAGCUUAACCUUCGGGAGGGCGCUUACCACUUUGUGAUUCAUGACUGGGGUGAAGUCGUAACAAGGUAACCGUAGGGGAACCUGCGGUUGGAUCACCUCCUUACCUUAAAGAA